rnacentral:rRNA from 1 species
UAGGGAAUCUUCGGCAAUGGACGGAAGUCUGACCGAGCAACGCCGCGUAAGUGAAGAAGGUUUUCGGAUCGUAAAGCUCUGUUGUAAGAGAAGAACGAGUGUGAGAGUGGAAAGUUCACACUGUGACGGUAUCUUACCAGAAAGGGACGGCUAACUACGUGCCAGCAGCCGCGGUAAUACGUAGGUCCCGAGCGUUAUCCGGAUUUAUUGGGCGUAAAGCGAGCGCAGGCGGUUAGAUAAGUCUGAAGUUAAAGGCUGUGGCUUAACCAUAGUACGCUUUGGAAACUGUUUAACUUGAGUGCAGAAGGGGAGAGUGGAAUUCCAUGUGUAGCGGUGAAAUGCGUAGAUAUAUGGAGGAACACCGGUGGCGAAAGCGGCUCUCUGGUCUGUAACUGACGCUGAGGCUCGAAAGCGUGGGGAGCAAACAGGAUUAGAUACCCUGGUAGUCCACGCCGUAAACGAUGAGUGCUAGGUGUUGGGUCCUUUCCGGGACUCAGUGCCGCAGCUAACGCAUUAAGCACUCCGCCUGGGGAGUACGACCGCAAGGUUG